AGUGAACGCUGGCGGUAGGCCUAACACAUGCAAGUCGAACGGCAGCACAGUAAGAGCUUGCUCUUACGGGUGGCGAGUGGCGGACGGGUGAGGAAUACAUCGGAAUCUACUUUUUCGUGGGGGAUAACGUAGGGAAACUUACGCUAAUACCGCAUACGACCUACGGGUGAAAGCAGGGGUUCUUCGGACUUUUCGGUAUGGAAUGAGCCGAUGUCGGAUUAGCUAGUUGGCGGGUUAAAGGCCCACCAAGGCGACAAUCGGUAGCUGGUCUGAGAGGAUGAUCAGCUACACUGGAACUGAGAAACGGUCCAGACUCCUACGGGAGGCAGCAGUGGGGAAUAUUGGACGAUGGGCGAAAGCCUGAUCCAGCAAUACCGCGUGGGUGAAGAAGGCCUUCGGGUUGUAAAGCCCUUUUGUUGGGAAAGAAAAGCAGCAGGUUAAUACCCCGCUGUUCUGACGGUACCCAAAGAAUAAGCACCGGCUAACUUCGUG
rnacentral:rRNA from 1 species